rnacentral:lncRNA from 1 species
AUGAAGGCUCUGUGCAGCUUAAAGUGCUCCUGUUUGUGGAGCAGCCACAUUGAGGGUCUUUCUUUUUCCCACAGAAGAUUAAAAUUCUGUACAAACUAUCCAGCUUCAAAUUGCAUAUGGACCAACGAUGCUCAGCUUACACUGGCAAAAUUAUCCUAUUUAACAAUCACAGACUAUAUUUUGAGAAUGAGAAGUAUUUGAUUCAUCUGAAAAGUUGAAUUUUUCUUCAAGUCUUCUGUGAACAAGAGUUACUUUCCAGCAGUUUCCUAUUGAAAUGAGCUAAAACGCUGAUCCAAUGCUAUGCCUUUUGGAGUCAUUUUUGAAAACUGAGAAACUUUAGAAAUAAUAACUUAUUUUAUAGCCAAGUUCUAUAUGGUUAUUGUAAAUUUAUCACUCAGGAGUCACUCUGUUUUCUAUGUCAUCUUCAAGUUCAGAGCAGUUACUUAGGGAGAUGGUUUCUGUCUGAUAGAUAAGAUGCAAAAUACUGUAACACCUAUUGAAAAUUAAAUGGGAGGACAAAGGUAAAUUGAAUACCCUAGAAAUGUGAUUAGUUUGUCCAUUUAGAAGUUCGUGGAUUAGCUCUGGAGGCUCAGGUAUUGAAUGUAGGUUUUCAAGAAUAAGAAUGAAUUACAAUACACUUGAUGCAAGUUAAAAUAAUUAUGAACAAUGGCAUAUCAUGAUAAAGUGAGAAAGCAUUGCCUAUGAGCUAUCUUCUGAAAAUACAGCAAUACAGUUAAUUUAAUAGAUUUAAUUUUUCCACUAUCUUAAGAAAAGGUAAAAUUCAAUAGAAUAUUAUUUUUAACCUAUAAAGAAAAAUUAAGCAGCAGAAUUUAAGUCAUAUUUCUCUGAGCUCAUGUGAAAUGCCCAGUUAUGAGAAAUAGGAACUCCAUUCUCAAAUGCUUUUAAGAAAAAAGAUGGAUGUUUAUUUGUAUUAUAAAUUGUAGAUAUUAUCCUUGAAUUCAUGCAAAACUUUACAAAAUGUUCUUUUUGAGGUCUGUAAAUAUUGAUGUUAUUUGUAGUUAAAAUUAAAUAAAUUGAGAAAUGGUCAUUGCUGGAUGUUCA